GCAGGCCUAACACAUGCAAGUCGAGCGGUAGCACAGAGAGCUUGCUCUCGGGUGACGAGCGGCGGACGGGUGAGUAAUGUCUGGGAAACUGCCUGAUGGAGGGGGAUAACUACUGGAAACGGUAGCUAAUACCGCAUAACGUCGCAAGACCAAAGUGGGGGACCUUCGGGCCUCAUGCCAUCAGAUGUGCCCAGAUGGGAUUAGCUAGUAGGUGGGGUAACGGCUCACCUAGGCGACGAUCCCUAGCUGGUCUGAGAGGAUGACCAGCCACACUGGAACUGAGACACGGUCCAGACUCCUACGGGAGGCAGCAGUGGGGAAUAUUGCACAAUGGGCGCAAGCCUGAUGCAGCCAUGCCGCGUGUGUGAAGAAGGCCUUCGGGUUGUAAAGCACUUUCAGCGGGGAGGAAGGCGGUGAGGUUAAUAACCUCAUCGAUUGACGUUACCCGCAGAAGAAGCACCGGCUAACUCCGUGCCAGCAGCCGCGGUAAUACGGAGGGUGCAAGCGUUAAUCGGAAUUACUGGGCGUAAAGCGCACGCAGGCGGUCUGUCAAGUCGGAUGUGAAAUCCCCGGGCUCAACCUGGGAACUGCAUUCGAAACUGGCAGGCUAGAGUCUUGUAGAGGGGGGUAGAAUUCCAGGUGUAGCGGUGAAAUGCGUAGAGAUCUGGAGGAAUACCGGUGGCGAAGGCGGCCCCCUGGACAAAGACUGACGCUCAGGUGCGAAAGCGUGGGGAGCAACCAGGAUUAGAUACCCUGGUAGUCCACGCCGUAAACGAUGUCGAUUUGGAGGUUGUGCCCUUGAGGCGUGGCAUCCGGAGCUAACGCGUUAAAUCGACCGCCUGGGGAGUACGGCCGCAAGGUUAAAACUCAAAUGAAUUGACGGGGGCCCGCACAAGCGGUGGAGCAUGUGGUUUAAUUCGAUGCAACGCGAAGAACCUUACCUGGUCUUGACAUCCACAGAACUUUCCAGAGAUGGAUUGGUGCCUUCGGGAACUGUGAGACAGGUGCUGCAUGGCUGUCGUCAGCUCGUGUUGUGAAAUGUUGGGUUAAGUCCCGCAACGAGCGCAACCCUUAUCCUUUGUUGCCAGCGGUUAGGCCGGGAACUCAAAGGAGACUGCCAGUGAUAAACUGGAGGAAGGUGGGGAUGACGUCAAGUCAUCAUGGCCCUUACGACCAGGGCUACACACGUGCUACAAUGGCAUAUACAAAGAGAAGCGACCUCGCGAGAGCAAGCGGACCUCAUAAAGUAUGUCGUAGUCCGGAUUGGAGUCUGCAACUCGACUCCAUGAAGUCGGAAUCGCUAGUAAUCGUAGAUCAGAAUGCUACGGUGAAUACGUUCCCGGGCCUUGUACAC
rnacentral:rRNA from 1 species